AGUGAACGCUGGCGGCAGGCCUAACACAUGCAAGUCGAACGGCAGCACAAGAGAGCUUGCUCUCUGGGUGGCGAGUGGCGGACGGGUGAGGAAUGCAUCGGAAUCUGCCCAUUUGUGGGGGAUAACCUCGGGAAACCGGGACUAAUACCGCAUACGACCUACGGGUGAAAGCAGGGGAUCUUCGGACCUUGCGCAGAUGGAUGAGCCGAUGCCGGAUUAGCUAGUUGGAGGGGUAAAGGCCCACCAAGGCGACGAUCCGUAGCUGGUCUGAGAGGAUGAUCAGCCACACUGGGACUGAGACACGGCCCAGACUCCUACGGGAGGCAGCAGUGGGGAAUAUUGGACAAUGGGCGCAAGCCUGAUCCAGCCAUGCCGCGUGUGUGAAGAAGGCCUUCGGGUUGUAAAGCACCUUUGUUGGGAAAGAAAAGCAGCCGGUUAAUACCCGGUUGUCAUGACGGUACCCAAAGAAUAAGCACCGGCUAACUUCGUG
rnacentral:rRNA from 1 species